CAACAGGAGCAACAACAACAACAACAACAACAACAACAACAACAACAACAAAAGAAACGACAAAUAAAUAACGACCGAAGUGAUAUAAGUGCAUUAAGCAAACAAAACAUACAUUGUAGCUCCUCUCCCAAAUCUUCCCAAAUUGAAGAAUAUAAGUUAAACAAAAUAAAAACAUACAUAAAAACGUUUGUAAAAGAAUAUCAACAAGGAGACAAAUUACAACUUGAUGAUGUAUUAACAAAUCAAAAUGAUAUUGUAUUCAAACAACUAAAAGGAAUAAAAGAAAAAAUAAAUACAUAUAAUAAAAAAUUUAUAAGAAUUCCUAUUUUGAUAGUAAACCAAACAAUUAAUAAUAAUAAAAGGUAUUAUAUUAUAUGUCCAGGUAAUAAAAAAAGUUCUGUUUUAUUCCAGUUAUUAGUACGUAAUGGAUCCAUACCAAUAGGACUAAAAGAAAGAUCAAAAAUUUUAAAAUGUUAUGAUUAUUUAUGUUUUCCUAAAGAUUUACCAGAUAGUUUUGGAGGACAUGUAUAUAAUAAUAUAAAAGAAAAAACAACAAAAAAAAUAUAUUUCAAAAAACCACUUAAUAAAAGAUUAAAUUAUUAUUGUUUAGGAAUAAAUAAUCCAUUUAAUUACUCAUGGUGUUGUAUAUAUCCAUAUAAAAAUAAUAUAAAAUAUAUUCGGUAUACUGACACAUAUAAACAAUUUCUUAUUCAAACUUUUUUACGACGUUUUGUGUUUAUAUCAUUAAAAAAAUUAGAUCCUAUUAUGAACUUUGAUGAUUUUAAUAUUUUUAUGCAAGAGUUUAAAAAAAAGUUUUUAGUUUUUGCAAAUUAUUUUAUAUCUGUGUAUGUACAUCCUUACAAGGAUGGGGUACCAUAUCGAUUGGCUAACAUAUGUUCAUUAAACACGAAUCAGUUAGUUAGGUUUUUUACGGAAUAUAUGGACACGAAAAAAAUACAAGAGUGGAUAAUACAUAAACGAAUAACAAACAAACAUAAAGGGAUUGUAAAAAUAAACAAAAUGAAAGAAAAAGUUAUACAUAAAUAUAAAUACAAAAAAUUGAAAAAACAAAAUAAAAAGGAAAAUAUUAACAAUAAUAAUGAAAAAAGCUGUUAUACUUUAAACACAAAUGUAGAAAAUGAAGAAAAUGGACAAACUUGUCACAGUGAUGGUGAUGAGAAAAAUAAAAAAGAAAUAAUUUUAUCUUCGAAAAAAAUAAUUGGUUAUGUUUCCAGCGGGGGUCACGUGUUAUCAAAAGGAUGUGGAUAUGCAGUGGGUCAUGUUUCUUUUUAUUUCCUUUUAGAAAACUUGUUGAAUCAUAUAUUUAUUUUGAAAUUAUUAAGUUCAAAUAAAAUUAAGAUAAAUCCGAAUGGGAAAGAAUUUCCAUUUGUAGCAUUAUUUCGAAACAAUAAUUCUGUAAAUUACUUUUACGCUUGGUUCCGUUUGGUAACAGAGGACAGAUACCUUCCCUUUUGAGCAAAAAAAAAAAAAAUAAAUAAAUAAUAAAAUUAUAAAAUUAUAAAUGA
rnacentral:lncRNA from 1 species